GCCGGUUUAGCUUAGUGGUAGAGCGUUGCACUUGUAUCAGGCUUUGCGCCUGUUUCAAUGCAAAGGUCGGUUGUUCAAUCCAGCCAACCGGCA